rnacentral:tRNA from 1 species
GCGGGGCUAGCUCAACUGGCAGAGUGCAACCCUUCCAAGGUUGGAGGUGCCGGUUCGAAUCCGGCGUCCCGCUCCA